GAUGAACGCUGGCGGCGUGCCUAAUACAUGCAAGUCGAGCGAACAGACGAGGAGCUUGCUCCUUUGACGUUAGCGGCGGACGGGUGAGUAACACGUGGGUAACCUACCUAUAAGACUGGGAUAACUUCGGGAAACCGGAGCUAAUACCGGAUAAUAUUUCGAACCGCAUGGUUCGAUAGUGAAAGAUGGCUCUGCUAUCACUUAUAGCUGGACCUGCGCCGUAUUAGCUAGUUGGUAAGGUAACGGCUUACCAAGGCAACGAUACGUAGCCGACCUGAGAGGGUGAUCGGCCACACUGGAACUGAGACACGGUCCAGACUCCUACGGGAGGCAGCAGUAGGGAAUCUUCCGCAAUGGGCGAAAGCCUGACGGGGCAACGCCGCGUGAGUGAUGAAGGUCUUCGGAUCGUAAAACUCUGUUAUUAGGGAAGAACAAACGUGUAAGUAACUGUGCACGUCUUGACGGUACCUAAUCAGAAAGCCACGGCUAACUACGUG
rnacentral:rRNA from 1 species